AUGUCAAUUUAUUAUUAAAAUUUAUGACGAUAUUAACACGAAUUUCGGCAUAAUACUUUUACGCAUUUGACGUUUUUAUAGGCCACCCCCUUAACACCUUUCCCGACCUAAAUUUUCACCCGAGAGAAGACAACUAAAAAAGAUUUGUACCAAUUCUUAUGCGAAGAAGCGUUUGAAAAUUAAGUCUCUUUGCCGCGUUAUUUAUUGCAUAAUUAUAGGAAAACUGGCGACACAACAAAGUAAAAAGAUUAUCGCACAUUUUGACCCCAGAAAUAAAAUAUAUUUCUUCUUGAAAUUGUAUUUUGUUGGCUUCUAGAAAAGAAGCCUUGACGAGCCCAGCAUCCCGUCCAACAAAAACCAGUGCUCAUAAGCAGAUGAAAAAUGCCAUAAACAUAGAUAUCCAUAUAUUCAGAUUAUGGAGUCGAGAAAUGCUCAUAAAGAUCACCAUUCAACGGCUCUAAGAAAAAAGGGGCACAAUAAAAUUGGAGGCACACACCGUGGAAAAAAAAACGAGGAACAU